rnacentral:lncRNA from 1 species
UGCAAUAUAUGAUUUUAUGAAUGUAUAUAUCAUUAUGAAAUCAUUCUGCUAGUAGGCAUUUCAUAUUCCUAAUAGAAUGGUUUAUUCAACACAGUUUGCUUUAUGUUUUAUAAUACUGUAAUCAUAGUUAACCUGAGGUCUUUUUUGGAGGGAUCAUUACAAUGGUACUCUGCCUUGGAAUUUGUACUUCAGGCCUUUCAGUAUUUAAGGGAAGAUAAGAUUAGGUACAUCCUGUGUUCAAAUAUGUAAUGUAAUCAUGCUAAUAGUACCUGGUAUGUUACUAUUUUUGACGUUUCAUCCUAGUUUAAAUUAUUCAUAUGUGGUGCAUAUCAUUCAACAAAGUCAAUCUGAAUCUUCUUGCUGAUACAAGAACUCAACUUUGGCUGAUGUGUUGUUAUUUAUUAAUGACUUCUGUACUGUGGUUGUUGUGACAGUGGCUUUUAUUGCCACAUCCCUUUAAACAACCAUGUGCAUCUUAUUAAAAUUUUAAAUAAAGAUACGUUGACAACAAUUUGGGUUGUGGUAUCAGAGUUUUUGAUAAUUUUGUGACCUCAAUGCGAUUGCAAUUGAGGUCGCAUUAAUUGCAUUUGUUUGCUAUAUUAAAGAUUGUGAUGCAAAUUGCAAUUACCCCAACCUGAUUAAAAGCUUGUUCGGUCUCUAACGAAGCAUACAGUAUACACUAUGCCGACUAACAGUAGAAAGAAAGAUCUGUUGAAGUAUAGGUAAUGGAGCUGACAAUGCAUUUUCCAAUGUUCCCCAAUAAGAAAAAUGGGAGGAAAAUGAUUGGCUUUAUAAGUUGAUGAUAUCUUGGCAAUUAAAUGAUUUUGGCAGCUUCUUAAGAGUGUUUGGAUGAAGGAUUUUAAAGAGGUAAAUUAAUUGUCUAUGGUAAUUAAAAUAAUUUGUCUUAAAAUCCCUUGUUUGCUUAAAAAGCAGGGUAGUUUUUAAAGUUCCUGGACUUUUUAUUCUCAAUUGACUAAAUUCAUUGCUGGAUAACACAUCACCCACCAUUCAUUUUAUUAAUUUUGUAGUUUUCUGCAGAUGGAUUAUUGGUGUCUGUGGGGUAUCAAAUUUGCUAUUCUGACAGGAUUUUAAACAGAGUACGGAAAGGGAUCGCUUUCCAAUAAUUGAUGGGUCCUUUAAUUACACAGCUUGGUUAAACUGCUUAAAUACCAUACUAUGAUUUGAGGGUCAUAUUUAAACACGAGGAUGUCUUUCAAAGAGCUUGUCUGAAAGAUAGUUGAUGAAGCUAUUAGCCGACAGAUUGGAUCCCCUGUAGCUGAGCUGCAUCUGUGCACCCAAGAAAGGGAAGGUAGGGAGAGAAGAUGUGUUAUACAGAUUUUACAGCUGUUGCAUCAUUCAACAACGUUAGAUGAUUUGAUUUAGAUUCAUAAAAUAAAGAGAUGGGGAGAUAAUGUGCAAUUUAGAGAGAGAGAGAUAAUGAGUAGAUAGAGUUGCCAGAGAGGAUCUAAUCCUGUUAGUUGAAAUACCAUCACAUAGGAUCAAUAUUAGUUGAGUCUAGUUAAUUAAGCAUGUGUCUUGAACCACACUUGCAAAUAGUUGAGUUUAGUUAAAUUUAGUCUGAUCUGCCCUAUUCCCACCCUUGCAAGCCGUGUGCGAUCAAUCUAAAGCUACAAGAAUGAGUGCAUGGUUUCAAAGACACGCUAAACAUAUUAUUGACGUCAGUUGUUGAAAAAUGUCCAACACAUUGUGAAAUUGACGUCAGCUGUUGGAAAAUGGCAAAUACAAUUGUAAAAUUGAAGCUUGGAGAGAUAAAUUUGACAAUGAAUUUGCCUCGAGAGGUGAGAAGACAAGACUCCAUUGUCCAAUCAAAUAUGCCAUAUAUGUCUGUUUGUGAUUUGAUUUUUG